GUGAACGAUUGGUCGCUCCUUCGGGAGCGGCUCAUAUCCAAUCACCCUGUGCACCGUGACCUUUUUUCAAAAGCUCAUUACCAGUUGAAGGAUUGUUUAAAAUCAAUUUACUAAGGCA
rnacentral:misc_RNA from 1 species